rnacentral:misc_RNA from 1 species
GAUGAAGAACGUAGCGAAAUGCGAUAAGUAGUGUGAAUUGCAGAAUUCAGUGAAUCAUCGAAUCUUUGAACGCACAUUGCGCCUCCUGGUAUUCCGGGAGGCAUGCCUGUUCGAGCGUCAUUAAAAUCACUCAAGCUUAGGUUUACCUAUUGCUUGGUCUUGGAGAUGGAAGCCAAUUUAUUGGAAUCCUCUUCGAAAUUCAAUGGCGAAGACCCUUGCUCUCCCAAGUGUAGUAAUAACUUAUGUCACUGAAGGAAGCGAGAAAUCUUCUGCCGUAACCCCCAUAUUUUCUAUGAUUGACCUCGGAUCAGGUAGGGAUACCCGCUUAACUUAAGCAUAUCAAUAAGCGGAGGA